AGUGAACGCUGGCGGCAGGCCUAACACAUGCAAGUCGAACGGCAGCACAGUGGAGCUUGCUCCAUGGGUGGCGAGUGGCGGACGGGUGAGGAAUACAUCGGAAUCUGCCCAGUCGUGGGGAUAACAUAGGGAAACUUAUGCUAAUACCGCAUACGACCUACGGGUGAAAGCGGGGGAUCGCAAGACCUCGCGCGAUUGGAUGAGCCGAUGUCCGAUUAGCUAGUUGGCGGGGUAAUGGCCCACCAAGGCGACGAUCGGUAGCUGGUCUGAGAGGAUGAUCAGCCACACUGGAACUGAGACACGGUCCAGACUCCUACGGAGGCAGCAGUGGGGAAUAUUGGACAAUGGGCGCAAGCCUGAUCCAGCCAUGCCGCGUGGGUGAAGAAGGCC
rnacentral:rRNA from 1 species